rnacentral:ncRNA from 1 species
AUUAAGUAGAAAUAAAGAUGUGAUACAGGUGAAGAAGGUGCAAACUGCCUGUACUACCUCAUGCUAACGAGAGUAGACGGAUACGUUUACUCUUAUGAGUCCUGAAAGGGAUAUGACGAAAGUCUAAAUGAGUGUAGGUUUAUAACUAAAUAGAGAUAAAGGUUGACAAGACUUGGUUGCGACAAUAGACGCCUCUGUGAGGAAUAAGCUGUGAAAUGGUGGCUUGAUAACCAUUGCAGGAAGCAGUACAUCAAUAACGCAAUUUAGGGUGACGUAGUUGAAAUGCUACUAUAACAAGUUACGUUGAAAGAUAGCCUAAUCCCUUGUGAAGAUAAAACACAUUGGUUAAAAUCUGAACGCAGGUUAUUUUUGGGAGUUCUAAUCUCCCUAUACCUAGGUGUCGAAAGACAUAAGUAUAGAAGUUAUAGGGUCGCUACUUAUAGCUCAGACUAUGCUUGUAUAUGACCGAAUAUAUCAAAGUUUAACUUAUGAAUCCUGAACAAAAAGGACACAAUUUUUAUUAAU